AAAAAGAGGCUGACCAAGGCAGACAUCGGCACUCCCAGCAACUUCCAGCACAUCGGGCACGUAGGAUGGGAUCCAAAUACCGGUUUUGAUUUGAAUAACUUGGACCCAGAGCUGAAGAAUCUGUUCGACAUGUGCGGCAUCUCCGAGGCUCAGCUGAAGGACAAGGAGACCUCCAAGGUCAUCUACGACUUCAUCGAGAAG